CCCCCUCGGCGGCCGCGUCCUGCUAACGAACAGACAGUGUGUGUGCACACCUCGAAAAAAGUGUGCUCGGAAACAGGCAAGACAAGUUUAUUUAUAUAGCACAAUUCAUACACAUUAGUAAUUUAAAGUGCUUAUAUAACUUAUAUAAAAAUAAGAUAUUUACAAAGGUAAAAUGCAUUAUAGCAAUUAAAAGAACUUGUAAUAUUAAAAAGGAAGCUAAAAAAUUGUAGAAAAAAAUUCUAAAAAGUAAAUAAAUAAAAAAAACUAAGGUGCAUCUGAUCAGCUAACAAAAAGCAUCUGACAACAGUUGGGUCUUAAGUCCAGAUUUGAAACCGGCUACAGUUGGAGCACCUUUGAUGUCAUCAGGAAGUUGGUUGCAGAGCUGAGCAGCAUAGCAGCUAAAAGCUACUUCACCAUGUUUAGUUCUGACAGUAGGUAUUACCAACACAUUUCUCUCCAGUGAUCUGAGAGGUCUAGCAGGUUUAUACUGCUGAAACAUAUCGGCAAGGUAAUUUGGUAAUUUGGUAAAUUUCUUUUUCUUUUUGCAAGAUCUCUAGCAGCUGCAUUUUAAAACACGCUGAAGCAGUUUGAUGAUCUUUUUAGGAUGGCCUGUGAACAGACCAUUGCAGUAGUGAAUCCUGCUGCAAAUAAAGGCAUGAAUGAGUGUUUCUAAAUCAUGUUUCGAACACAAGGCCUUCUAAGAUCGGCUCUGUUUUUGAGAUUGUAAAAAGCUGAUCUGGUUAUUGCUUUCACAUGGUUGUUCUGAGAUCGCAAUCACGUAAGACACCAAGAGUUUUAACAGUGUCCUUCGCUUUAAGUCCUUUUGUGUCAAGAUGAGUAGCAAUCCUAAGUAUGUACUCAUUUUCCCCAAAUAAGAUUAUUUCGGUCUUGUCAUUAUUCAGCUGGAGGAAAUGUUGAGACGUCCAGCUGUUAAUUUGGUCAAUGCAUUGACAAAGAAAUUCUAGGGGGGCCAUAGCUAUUAGGUAAAAACCGCAUUGACGAGCUCCUGUCUUGUACGUAUGAUCUGAGCUACUUGAAAAAAAAAGAACCUGAAAAUCCAAUGCAAUGUUCCAGUCUGUGUAAUAAUAUUAGGAUCAGCAUUGUGAAAGCCUGCCCUCAGGUCCAAUAACACUAAGGCGUGAUGUUUUGCCUGUAUGAGAAACCAUCAAAAUAACCAUUUGACAUUAUAACAGCUGUUUUCAGGCACUUAGGAAAUGUGCCCAACAGCAAUGGCUGCUGCUAAGAGGUGAAAAACUGAUUUGGUAGGCAAAGUAUCUAGGCAGCAUGUGGAAGAGCUGAGAUUAUGUACUGUUUCCUACAUAAAUUGAUUUUUAUCAAUUUUACCUUUGAAAAAAGUUUCAGGUGCCAACUGUAAAGUGGAAGCUAACAUCUGGUUAGUGGUAGUGAGAUCCUUUGUGAUGACAAGGUCCAUGGUAUGACCAAGAGAGUACGUUGGUAUCUGUACAUGCUGUGUUUGGGCUGUAGGUAUCAAGUAAUGCAUUUAGCUAGAAUGGUUUUCUGGAUUAUCUGCAUGCAAGUUGAAAUCCCCUGAGGUACCUGCCAAUAUGAAAACACUUAAUGAGAGCACAUAUGUAUUCAAAUGAUAUAAAGUCACCAAAUGAUGCCUGUUUGCACUGAAAAGAUGAUUUGAAUAGUGUGGCUAUCCCCCCUCCUCUUUUGGCUGUUCUGGUAGCAGUCAUACAAGUAAAGUUUGGGGGAGCUGAUUCAGUGACGAGCGGGUCGUUUAGGUGCCCUUGGACCCUUGGAAGAUGCAGGUUUGACUUGGGAGAAAUUCGGAGAGUUAGGGUGGGAGCGAGCCGUUGAUUUUGGCGCCUGUCCCUUGGGAUUGAAUCUUGGGGGCGAGACAAAAGACAGCCUGCCCCUCCAUACUUUCAGGCAACGUCAGAUGAUGGGGUGGUAGAUGGUGACAAAGAGUCUAGGGAGUAGGGGGUGGGAUGUUGGUGUCUCUACCUCAGCAUUGCUCUCUGUGAGUGGGUCAGACAGAUACCUCAGCAUCGCCCCUUCACGUCAGAUAGCCUGUCCUCAGCCUU
ensembl:lncRNA